rnacentral:rRNA from 1 species
GACGAACGCUGGCGGCGUGCCUAAUACAUGCAAGUAGGACGCAGUUGCGAACGGGUGAGUAACGCGUAGGUAACUGCCAAUUAAAGGGGGAUAACUAUUGGAAACGAUAGCUAAUCCCGCAUACGAGUAGAUGGACCUGCGUUGUAGUAGCUAGGAGGUAGGGUAAUGGCCUACCUAGGCAAGGAUACAUAGCAGACCUGAGAGUGUGAUCGGCCACACUGGGACGGAGACACGGCCCAGACGCCUACGGGAGGCAGCAGUAGGUAAUCUUCGGCAAUGGGGGGAACUCUGACCGAGCAACGCCGCGUGAGUGAAUACGGUUUUCGGAUCGUAAAGCUCUGUUGUUAAGGAAGCGGUACUUAACCAGAAAGGGACGGCUAACUACGUGCCAGCCGCCGCGGUAAUUC